rnacentral:rRNA from 1 species
AGCGAACGCUGGCGGCAGGCUUAACACAUGCAAGUCGAGCGGGCGUAGCAAUACGUCAGCGGCAGACGGGUGAGUAACGCGUGGGAACAUACCUUUUGGUUCGGAACAACACAGGGAAACUUGUGCUAAUACCGGAUAAGCCCUUACGGGGAAAGAUUUAUCGCCGAAAGAUUGGCCCGCGUCUGAUUAGCUAGUUGGUGAGGUAACGGCUCACCAAGGCGACGAUCAGUAGCNGGUCUGAGAGGAUGAUCAGCCACAUUGGGACUGAGACACGGCCCAAACUCCUACGGGAGGCAGCAGUGGGAAUAUUGGACAAUGGCGCAAGCCUGAUCCAGCCAUGCCGCGUGAGUGAUGAAGGCCCUAGGGUUGUAAAGCUCUUUUGUGCGGGAAGAUAAUGACGGUACCGCAAGAAUAA